rnacentral:rRNA from 1 species
UACGUAGGGUGCGAGCGUUGUCCGGAAUUAUUGGGCGUAAAGAGCUCGUAGGCGGUGUGUCACGUCGGCCGUGAAAACCUGGGGGCUUAACUCUGGGCGUGCGGUCGAUACGGGCAUCACUAGAGUUCGGCAGGGGAGAGUGGAAUUCCUGGUGUAGCGGUGAAAUGCGCAGAUAUCAGGAAGAACACCGAUGGCGAAGGCAGCUCGCUGGGACGGUACUGACGCUGGAGGCGCGAAAGCGUGGGGAGCAAACAGG